rnacentral:rRNA from 1 species
ACGGCGAGUGAAGAGGGAAAAGCCCAAAUUUGUAAUCUGGCUCUUUUUAUAAGGGUCCGAGUUGUAAUUUUGAGAACUGUUUUCUGUGCUGGACCAUGUACAAGUCUGUUGGAAAACAGCAUCAUUGAGGGUGAAAAUCCCGUACGUGAUAUGGACUACCAGGGCAAUAUGAUACAGUCUCUAAGAGUCGAGUUGUUUGGGAAUGCAGCUCAAAGUGGGUGGUAAAUUCCAUCUAAGGCUAAAUACAGGUGAGAGACCGAUAGCAAACAAGUACCGUGAGGGAAAGAUGAAAAGAACUUUGGAAAGAGAGUUAACAGUACGUGAAAUUGUUAAAAGGGAAACAUUUGAAGUUAGACUUGUUAUUGUUGGAUCAACUUCUUUAUUGAGGUGUAUUCUGAUGAUUAACAGACCAGCAUCAAUUUUUGAGUGUUGGAUAAGGGUUUUGGGAAUGUGGCAACUUUGGUUGUGUUAUAGACCAUUACUUUGAUACAAUGCUUAGGAUUGAGGAACGCAGUAAGC